ACGACCAUAGAAUGAAGAACAUUGGGCAUCCCGUCCGCUCUGCCAUACACAAGCUUCAUAUCGUUAGACUAGUAGUUGAGUGGGUGACCAUCAGCGAAUCCCUAAUGUUGUAUGUU
rnacentral:rRNA from 1 species